CCUCUAGAGAUUAUUACCGCGGCUGCUGGCACGGAGUUAGCCGGUGCUUCUUCUGCGGGUAACGUCAAUCGGUGAGGUUAUUAACCUCACCGCCUUCCUCCCCGCUGAAAGUACUUUACAACCCGAAGGCCUUCUUCACACACGCGGCAUGGCUGCAUCAGGGUUUCCCCCAUUGUGCAAUAUUCCCCACUGCUGCCUCCCGUAGG
rnacentral:rRNA from 1 species